ensembl:lncRNA
CCCUGCCUGCCCUUGCCACCCCUGGCUGGCAGUGCCCGUGCUGCUGGGGCCGGUGGUGGCUGCAGCCCCUCUGGCCGUGCUGCAGCCCCUGGCUUCCUUGGCUGCAGCCCCUCCUCUGGCCGUGCUGCAGCCCCCGGCUCCCUUCGCAACCCCUCCUCUGGCCGUGCUGCAGCCCCCGGCUUCCUUCGCAGCCGCCAGCAGCCCCCAGCAGCCCCGCCUACCAGCAGGGAGAUCACGGGCUGGCAGCCCAGAGCGGGCAGUAUGUGCUACUGCAUCCUGGGAUACCACUCUCCCCGCCAGCAUGGGGUGAAGAGCAACACCUGAUGCUGCCCCAGUGCUGGCAGAAGAACAGCAGCUCUGCAGAGACCCGUCCUGCCAGCAGAGCAUCACGGAGAAGAAGACGCGCCUUCUGCUCACAGGAAGAUGAGCCACGGAGUCCUGGGACACCACUCUCCCCUCCAGCAUGUGAUGAGGACCAACGCCUGAUGCUGCUCCAGCGCCGGCAGAAGAACAGCAGCUCUGGGAACACCCGUCCUGCCAGCACAGCAUCACAGGGAAGAGGACGCACCUUCUGCUCAGAGCGAGUUACUCUUCUCCUGUAAGCCGAGCUUUGACAGAGUUGAUGUCCAAAACAGCCGAGGAAGAACUGGACUGAAGAGGAGAGCGCCAGCUGACAGCGCCCGUCUGGUGUGAUGUGCCCAGAGAGAGACUCGUCCAGCAAGAGAUAGAGUAGAUAGGGAGCAUAGGGACCCAGUUAGCUCUAAAAUGUCUUAGUAGUGCAGUUGUAAGAAAGCUCUGUAAAUAAAUUGUAUGCCAUUGUUUUCAUAUCCUUACACUGUGUCCAAAACUGUGUUUGUUCGUAGUCCGAUAUGCCUAGAAAUAAAUGACAGAACAAUAAAUCUUUUCCUCUGAUCUUCUGUGGCGGUGGUGGUUUUGUUUGUUUCGUGGUGGAAUCCUAAAAUGAUUUUAUAGUUCCUCUCACAGAGGAAGCAGCAGCAGC